AAAGCUACUUUUGUUACUUGCUUUUCUUUCUGGAGUCUCACUGUAUAUUAAACCAAUAUUCAUAAAUAAUAAAAAAACUUAGACCCAAAAUUCAUACUCAUAAAAUUGUAAUGUUUUUCAAAUACUUACGCAAAAAUCUACACAAAUAUGUAAAAAAAAGAAACAAAUCCACUCUACAAAACAAAGUGAUGACCAGUUCCAAUAAACAGAUGAACCUAUUACCUAAUAAUAGGUGAAACUCCACAUGUUUACACGUAACCCCUAUUAUUUCAUAAAAAAAACACCCCUCAUACAAAUGAACUUCAUACCUAGUAAAACACCACCUCAAAGAAAUAAAAAUAUCUUUAAUGGCUC
rnacentral:lncRNA from 1 species